GUGCCAGCCGCCGCGGUAAUACCGGCAGCCCGAGUGAUGGCCGAUCUUAUUGGGCCUAAAGCGUCCGUAGCUGGCCGAACAAGUCCGUCGGGAAAUCCACGUGCUUAACGCGUGGGCGACCGGCGGAAACUGUCCGGCUUGGGGCCGGAGGACCCGAGGGGUACGUCCGGGGUAGGAGUGAAAUCCCAUAAUCCCGCACGGACCACCGAUGGCGAAAGCACUUCGAGAAAACGGAUCCGACAGUGAGGGACGAAAGCUGGGAUCUCGAACCGGAUUAGAAACCCGUGUAGUCC
rnacentral:rRNA from 1 species